AUACGGAGGGGGCUAGCGUUGUUCGGAUUUACUGGGCGUAAAGCGCGCGUAGGCGGCUUGCCAAGUUGGAGGUGAAAGCCCAGGGCUCAACCCUGGAACUGCCUUCAAAACUGGCUCGCUUGAGACCGGGAGAGGUGAGUGGAAUUCCCAGUGUAGGGGUGAAAUUCGUAGAUAUUGGGAGGAACACCAGUGGCGAAGGCGGCUCACUGGACCGGUACUGACGCUGAGGCGCGAAAGCGUGGGGAGCAAACAGGAUUAGAUACCCUAGUAGUCC
rnacentral:rRNA from 1 species